CGCCUAGUUUUCCCACAGCCAGAUUUGUCGAGCCAUGUGUGUAUAUAUAUAUAUAUAUAUAUAUAUAUAUAUAUAUAUAUACACACAUGGCUCGACAAAUCUGGCUGUGGGAAAACUAGGCGG
rnacentral:miRNA from 1 species